UGACUAAGCGGGCUCCAGCCCGCUGCAAGACGCGCUGUGCAGGAAGGCCCACAGCCGCCCAGGUGCUGCGACGCCAGCCAGAGCUAUAACACAUGGGGCGCCAGAUAAGCUGAUGACGAUAAUACGCCACGCCAGCGCCUGGAAAGAAACGCCGCCCAAAAGGAAACCUAGGGGGCCUGCACAGGUGAUGCAAGCAUCAGCCGCAAGUUCAACUUCGGUGACCCACCCUGAACCUCCUCCACUUCACAAAGCGCGCCACCCGCCGUCCAGAUGGCAACAAAGUGCUCCAGCCGAGAGUCUUUGAAGAGCGGGCGGCGUACGAUGCAGCAUCACCAGGGGAACGGGCGGGGGCGUGGCCUCGGGCGCCGUACUUCCUGGCGCCGGAGGCUGGGGUGGUGGUGCACCCGGAGCUCUGCCAAAUUGCGGGUGUCAGCUUGGCGGACUACACGGUGCAGGACGUGCGGCGGGCCAUCACCGCGGCCAACCCGUUCAACCUUGUAAGGAUGAUUCCUCAAAAAAUAAACCCGGCCGCCCCUCUGGCUCCGGCCCGCCCCGCAGCCAUGCCGUGCCCGGCGCCAGCACAGCAGGCGGGGGGUUCGGGGACCCAGCCGGCGGCACAGUCGCGGCUGGCGGAGCGGGAGGCGGAGUGGCAGCGUGCAGCGGCGCAGCUGACCACCACGGCGGCGCAGCAUUUCCACAAUAACCCGGUGGCACGGCCACGGAAGACGCCCGUCAUGCGCACUCCCACACACCCAACUGCCCACUCCCGCCGCGUCACGAAACACGCUGCCCAAAAGGCCCGCAUUGCAGAAAACACGCGCACAACACCCGACGACCUGCUCACCGGUGAUAAAGCCGCAAUCAGCACGGCUAUGCGCCUCACAAAUGGAGACGAAAGCCUGGCCGUUGGCACACGUGGGUACAAAACGGCACGUUCAGUGUUCACGGCCCUGGCAAAAGACAUGAGCAGGCACAACCACCUCUGCAAGCCCCACUCAAGGGACCCCCCUUCAUUCAAUAACCGAACCCCGGUUACCCGCACGCAACGGCCCCUGGCCCCCGCAAUAACCACUCUGCUCACUGCGAAUGCGACCAUGCCGUCUACUGGCGCCGUGCAAACCUACCUCCACCAAGGGCAGCCAGCCGCGGCCGCCGCUGAGGACCCAAUGGACGUCGACGCCGCAGCAC
rnacentral:lncRNA from 1 species